rnacentral:rRNA from 1 species
GAUGAACGCUGGCUACAGGCUUAACACAUGCAAGUCGAGGGGAAACGACGGGGAAGCUUGCUUCCCCCGGGCGUCGACCGGCGCACGGGUGAGUAACGCGUAUCCAACCUGCCUCUGACUGAGGGAUAACCCGUCGAAAGUCGGCCUAAUACCUCAUGGCAUCGUCUGCGGGCAUCCAACGACGAUUAAAGAUUUCAUCGGUCAGGGAUGGGGAUGCGUCUGAUUAGCUUGUUGGCGGGGUAACGGCCCACCAAGGCGACGAUCAGUAGGGGUUCUGAGAGGAAGGUCCCCCACAUUGGAACUGAGACACGGUCCAAACUCCUACGGGAGGCAGCAGUGAGGAAUAUUGGUCAAUGGGCGGAAGCCUGAACCAGCCAAGUAGCGUGCAGGAAGACGGCCCUAUGGGUUGUAAACUGCUUUUAUGCGGGGAUAAAGUGAGGGACGUGUCCUUCAUUGCAGGUACCGCAUGAAUAAGGACCGGCUAAUUCCGUGCCAGCAGCCGCGGUAAUACGGAAGGUCCGGGCGUUAUCCGGAUUUAUUGGGUUUAAAGGGAGCGUAGGCCGUGGAUUAAGCGUGUUGUGAAAUGCAGGUGCUCAACGUCUGCACUGCAGCGCGAACUGGUCCACUUGAGUGUGCGCAACGCAGGCGGAAUUCGUCGUGUAGCGGUGAAAUGCUUAGAUAUGACGAAGAACUCCGAUUGCGAAGGCAGCUUGCGGGAGCACA